rnacentral:lncRNA from 1 species
UAGUACACUUAUUUUUUUAAGUCCCUUUUUAUUUUGUGAGAAAUCUUAACUUCUUGGUAAAGAUAUUUUCAUUAGAAUAAAAAUGGGACUUUCAGGUGCUUGUCAUUUUCUAAAAUGCUUUGAAGUUUGAAUUUUUUAUGUAUAUCAGGAGACUAAGUCCUUCUGAAUAGUGUACUAAUGAUAAAUUUAGGAUUUCAAGAAUCAACCUCCAUUAUAGUUAGAAAAACUAUACCUAGUAUUGACAUCACAGUCAGCUUUUGUGCAAAUUUCAUUUGUGACAACUAUUUAUUAUACUUAUCAAAUAGCAGGAAAAGGCUCCAACAUUGAAGUUUUUAAAAUAGUGACAGGCACUGACUGUAGCUGGCGUUGGACCAAUCAGAUAAUGUGAUAAGAUAGUGCUAAGAGGUCAAAGCAGUUGUAGAAAUUGAAAGGAAGUUAAAGUAUUUAUGGCUAUUCAGCAGCUCAUUUUUUUAAGAGUGCUCUUCUUCUGUGGGAAGCUUGAGAACGAUGCUGGGUGGAGUUCCAAGAGACACCCCCCCCCCCCCCGCCCCUGCCCCAAUCUGGUGCAUUAUCCCCUCCAGCUUCAGUAGGAACUGAUUCUUGUGAAUUUGAUAGGAGUAUACCACUCUGAAUAUGUUAUGUGGCAGAAGGGAGUUUGCUGAUGUCAUUAAGGUUGCCAAUCAUUUCACCGACCUCCUCAGUGAAACCUCACCUACUCAGGUAAGCUCCUAAAAGAGGCUAGAGAGGUUUGAGGUCUUAGAUUUUCCUGCAAGGCUUGAAAAAGUAAGCUUUCUAUGUGGUAGGAGGUUCUGUGGAGGGGCUACAGAGCCAGGAUGCAAGGGCAGCCUCUAGAAGACGAGACUAGUUGCUAACAAAUGGUUAUCAAGAAAAUAGGGUUAUUGCUCAUAUAACCACAAGAAACAAAUUGUAUCAUCAGUCACUGAGUUUGGAAGAGGAUUCUAGAGUCACAGAUGUGACUAUAGCCCCUGCCAACAUCUCAAGUCUAGCCUGGUGACACCCUGAGCACAGGAACCAGCUAACUCCAGUCUAACCUCUGGAGCAGAACUGUGAGGUAAGGAAUUUGUACUGUUUUAGGCUACUAAGUUUAUGGUAACUUUUUACGAAACAGUAGAACACAAAUGUAGGUAAGAAUGAAGCUUUUAAGGGGCACAUAAAAAUUUAGAAGAGCUGUCAGCAUGACAGCAGUGGGCUGGAAUUGGGACGCUGAGAUGGGAUAUGUGAGCCUUCCAGUUGGCCCUUCUGGUCUCUCCCAAUACUGCACCUGACACCAAGGCAGAGUAUCAGCUGCAAUUCAUUGCUCUGUUGUUAUUCUCACAGACUGUUACAAAUGUUAUUCUUAAAAAAAUUUUUUUUUCUGAACUCCCUUCUCUAUCAAACAUGGAAAAUGAAAGAUGGAGCUCAGAAGGCACCUGUUUUCUCAAGCCAGAGCUGAUCUUUUCAUUUCUGCACUUGUCGGCGUUUGCGAUCGUGACCCCUGGAGAGUAAAGUAAUAAUUGAUUGGGAGCACCUUGUAUAACCCUGACCAGAUGCCUAGCAAAUAUUAGUUUCCUUCCAUCCAGCCUCUCUCAUAGUUGUUUCUGAAACACUUGGACACAGAAUAAAGUGGUUAUAACAUUCCUGGUGAUUGUAAGUGGACUACAACAAAAUGUUGAAAUCAAGCAGGAAAGACAAAGAUUGUUUUUCAAGUAAAGCAGAGAAUAUAAAGAGGGAAGUCAGUAAUGAUAACCAUGUAGGUGACUCCAAUUUUCCUUUCUAUCUCUCCUAAAAUCAAUGAAAUUUCUCCCCCAGAGCCAGGAAAGGGAGAGAACCACCCCUGUUGCAGUGUUCGCUUUCAGUUGGCUGUAUAUCCCUGGCCUCUGGGUGAGGUUAACUGUGCAAAGGAAAGCCACACUCUCAGAACAGUUAGAUGCUUUUUCUCACUAAACCACACUGGAGAUACUAAUUCCAUUUCUUUCCUGGCUGUAGAUAGGUGAAUUAGCGAGAAACCACUCCUGCAUUGUCUUCCAGUCUUCAAAUGAAGCCUAAUUAAAGAAAUAUAUAGUUUUUAUUGAGCUGCAAGAAAAAGGGACAUGGGGCACAAUUAAGUUUGCAUCAAUAAUUAAAGCCAUAAAAUUAUUAAUGUAGCAAAUAUUACACAUUAAUAAGAAAUAUAUUUUGUCACCAACUGCUGCAUAAAAUCCCUCUUUCAUAAUCUAUAAUCCAAAAGGAGAAAUGGAGAAGGAAUAUACAAAAACAUUGUUUCAUCCUCAAGUUUGUUGCUGCUUCAAUUAAGAUGUUUGCCAUAUUUCCACACUACCAUUUCUAAGAUUCAGUUGUUUGGAAUCAGUAAAGAAAAUGAUAAAAAAAAUAAUGUGAUUACAGUGACUUGUAUGUAACAUGAAGUUUUACUAGGGAGAUGAAAAUAUUUAUCAAUCUUCACAAUAUUUUCCACUGAUAAGGACUACACAUUCAAUAUGCAGAGAGAAGAGGCCUCCUCUACCUUUGCUCUAUAUCUUUUCUUUGGCUGAACUUGAAUUAUUCUGCUCCUGUCCUCUUUGUAGAGAGAGAGGCUUGAUUCAAAGCCACCUUUGGGAGUGGGGGAUCCCCAACUGAGAAAACUCUUCUUUUGGUCAUUAAAAGUCCACUGGAGAGUGUUAAGGAAUGAGUUUCUAUCUCCUUCCUUCCCCCAGACGACCCAUCCUGCACAUCUUUUAUCAAAGCCUUAUCAUCUGCUUCUGCAAUCAGCUGUUUCCUUCAGUAACAAACCCGACUGGUAUCCAUGAGAACUUGGGUUGGAUCCCUGGCCUUGCUCAGCAGGUUAAGGAUCCAGUGUUGCCAUGAGCUGUGGUGUAGGUCACAGACGCAGCUCAGAUCCCACGUUGCUGGGACUGUGGUGCAGGCUGGUAGCUACAGCUCCGAUUCAACCCCUAGCCUGGGAACUU